AACCUGCGGAAGGAUCACUG
rnacentral:rRNA from 1 species